rnacentral:rRNA from 1 species
UAAGUUUGACCUCGGAUCAGGUAGGGAUACCCGCUGAACUUAAGCAUAUCAAUAAGCGGAGGAAA